rnacentral:rRNA from 1 species
UACCUACGGGACGCAGCAGUGGGGGAUAUUGCACAAUGGGGGAAACCCUGAUGCAGCGACGCCGCGUGGGUGAAGAAGCGCCUCGGCGCGUAAAGCCCUGUCAGCAGGGAAGAAAAUGACGGUACCUGAAGAAGAAGCCCCGGCUAACUACGUGCCAGCAGCCGCGGUAAUACGUAGGGGGCAAGCGUUAUCCGGAUUUACUGGGUGUAAAGGGAGCGUAGACGGCAUAGCAAGUCUGAAGUGAAAGCCCAAGGCUCAACCAUGGGACUGCUUUGGAAACUGUUAAGCUAGAGUGCUGGAGAGGU